AGACACUUAAGCGGCUAAUUUU
rnacentral:snRNA from 1 species